AAGAUUGCAGCUUUGACAUUGAGUUUACAUCUUCUCUCUGUUUUUUUGCAUAAUAUGAGAUCAGCACCAAUCGGUACUGAAGCUGCAACUUCAACUUUUUCCACUGAUAAUUUUAGGAGUACAUCUCUUAACAGAAGCAGUUUUCCAAAAAGUUUUAUAUUUGGGACAGCAUCAUCUGCUUAUCAGUGUGAAGGUGCAGCUAAUGUUGGUGGCAGAGGACCAAGCAUAUGGGAUAUAUACACUCAUAAUUACCCAGAAGGAAAGGUUAGCAGAGGUGUGAACAAGGAAGGAGCCAACUAUUACAACAACCUCAUCAAUGAACUAUAAGCUAAAGGACUUGAACCCUUUGUGACCAUAUUUCAUUGGGACCUUCCUCAAGCCUUAGAAGAUGAAUAUGACGGUUUUUUAAGUCCUAAUAUAGUGUAACUCAAAUUAUUUACAUCAAAUAAUCAAAAUAUACUUGUGUAAACAUAUUUUAACUGAUAUCUAUCUACUUUGUUUAUCACUCUCUAGGAAUGAUUUUCAAGAUUAUGCAGAACUUUGUUUUAAAGAAUUUGGAGACAGAGUAAAAC